ensembl:lncRNA
GAAAAAAUGGUGUUUCUGAUACUUUUAUAUUAGUGGAUUUAGUUUAAGUUAUACUUGUUUAUCACUGUGGAACCUAAAAAAAAAAACAUGGUAUCAUGUCCUUAAAACCAUGAAAGUGAUUUUUGUAGUUUCAAAUGCUGUAUCCUUACUGCUUCAAUCACAUGAUGGACGUCAUAUACUUGUUUAAAGUCCUCAUUGUCAUCUGAGAGAGUCUUUAAUGGCCGUCGGUGGUGAUGUUAGUCUGGAAUGUUCUGUCAGGUUUCACUGAAAGGGAAAAACAGCAGAGGAAAGUUGUACUUUGAAUUAAAAUGUCAUAAAUCAGGGUUAAUGUCACACCUGCUGACAUCCAAAUGACACAGACGUCCCCAGGCCAAGGCUUUUCAAAUACAGCAGCCCUUUAGUGAACGUGUGUGUGUGUGUGUGUGUGUGUGUAUGUGUGUGUUCCCAGGCCACAAUCCAGAGGAAUCUGUUCAAACGGCUCAAAACUGACCUGCUCCUCAUCUGAGCUGUGAUUUACACCGCUGUUGUGUCCGUGUCUCUGAGUGAGAGGACUGACAGUGACCAUUACUGAACCCUAAACGAGCACACACUGUCCCACCGCACCGCAGCCCCAGCGGAGAGAAGCCAGCUGAUUACAGACCAGUUGCCAUUUGUCUCUGGAAAAAAGCUUGGAAACUCUCAAAAGUUCCAGGAAAGCUCUUUACAUUCUCACCAGAGGAGGAGUGUGGGGUCUGUCCUGCCAUCACCCACCCCUCUUUCAUCACAUCCAGCCCCCUGAGAGGAGUCCAGACCGGCAGAACCAGGUCCUCAGGAGCAGAGUGUGUUAUGUGUGAAAAGCUCUGACACAAAUUCAGCGCCACCAUUUCCAAAGUCCCUCCCCUGCGUUGUGAUUGGCUGUUGUGGGUGGCUCAGGUGUGCUUUCAUUGGCUUGGUUUAACGUAAGGCUCCAGGUGAAAUAGCAGAGCUCCAGUCAUGCGUGAAGGAACCAAGACACACACACACACACACACGUAGCCAAAACACAGAACAUACCACACACACACACACACACACACACACACACACACAAAGCAAUGCAAAAACAGCAUAAAAUCUGAACCAGUAUUACAUAGA